CAAAAUAAUCAAAAAUUCUAUUAACAAAACAUUUUCCCUACGUAAGGGUACGUUUUAAAAUUUUCUAGGUACUUACAAAUUCUUAGUUUGUUUUGUAUAUAUCGUACAUAAUGGGGAAAACAAAUAAAAAUAUUUGUUAUAAAAGGAAAGUUAUACUUCUAAAAUAUAAAGAUAAAAGAGAAAGUUUAAUUUUAUCUAAAACUGUUGAAAGAAGAAAGGAAAAGCUUUCAAUAAAAGUUCAAUACAAUGCUAAGAUACGAAAGUCACUAAACAGACAUAAAUUAAAAGAGAAAUAUCCUGUUUGUAAGGCACAUUUAAAAGAUCGAACUGUUCCACGUUGCUUAAGAGGAAUGUGUGCAAAAAAAAACAAAUAUAUAAGAAUACCGCAACAACAUAAACAAAAGCGCAGAGAGCCCAGACAAGACAUGAAGCAUCAAAUAAAACGGAAAAGAGGAAUGAGUUUGUCAUCAAUAUCCUCUAUUGAAAUAAGUGAUGAAUUAAACAAUAGUUUUGAAUAUGAUAACAUUAGCUCUGGCAGUUUAGGCUCUUAUACAGAUGAUGAAAUUGAAACUUUGAUGAAGUCAACCAGAAAGAGAAUGAAAGAUUUAGAUGAUGACUGGACUUUGUUCCCCCGACAACAUCCUUCUUCUCCUGUCUCAAAUAGAUGUGACAAUUCUGAUGUUUCUAUAAACUCUCUGGAUACUUUAGUACUUGAAGCAGAUGACAGUAAGGAAAAUUUGGAUGUGUAUCAUUUAAAAAAUGAAGCUUAUUCACCUACAAUGAGUCCAGAAGAGUCAAAAUAUGAGUCAUUUAUUACUAAUAAUAAUAAAAACUUCAUGCUUGAAUUUAAAGACACAGAAAACCUGUAUGAAAAUCAUGUUCAAAGUGACCAUAAAAUA